GUUCUCUUCUCUGUGGAAACCAAACGGGUUCACCUUCUCUAUUUUCUCAGUAAUGCAUCUUUCAUCUUUCAGAUUCUCUCUGACCUCCCUAUCUCUAACGGGAUCCACCACAAUUUCACAUUAACAAGCCUCCAAUUCGGCUCCAGAAAUUCCGAGGCUCCCUUCCAUUCGAUUUUAGGGAUCAUUUUCUUCUCUCAAGUUCCUAUUCCCUAACCCUAAUCAACCACCUUAAUGAAAUUGUGGGUUUGGUCACCACAGAGCAAUAUGUUGAGAAGGUUUAUACAGAUAGAUCAAAAUAGAGGAGUAAGAGUAGGAGAAGCUUCAGUAGCUACAACAAGAGUAUGUUUUUGAGGCGCCAUGGAAAUCGAGCCACUCAUCACCUCUAUUUCUCUCUGAUCAGUAUGCAGGAUAUAGUGAAGGAGGCUCAAUAGGUGAUUCUUAAAUUCUGAAUGACAAAGGAUUUGUUUUACUAUAUCUCAGCAUUCAACUGUUCCUCAAGGAGUUUUGCCGAAAGAUUUUUAAUUUGGUGCACCAAAGAAGGAAGUGAUGGUCUUUGCUUUGAUUGAGAGCCUGGUCUUGCAGAGUUGGUUAGGGACAUCAAAAUCCUUUUUCACAUUGUCAAGGAGUUUUUCCCUUAUAUAAAUUUUCUUAAUCAAUGAUCAAUUGUCUCUAGCAAUCUCAUGUUGAACUGUAAUAUCUUCCUCUGUUGUGGUUUUUUUAUGAUACUCCCUUUAAACUGUAAUAGAAGAUAAUUCUUGCUCAUAGUGGAAUUGAGUAUGUAUAA